rnacentral:rRNA from 1 species
UGGGGAAUUUUGGACAAUGGGCGCAAGCCUGAUCCAGCCAUGCCGCGUGUCUGAAGAAGGCCUUCGGGUUGUAAAGGACUUUUGUCAGGGAAGAAGAGGCUGUCGCUAAUACCGACAGCUGAUGACGGUACCUGAAGAAUAAGCACCGGCUAACUACGUGCCAGCAGCCGCGGUAAUACGUAGGGUGCGAGCGUUAAUCGGAAUUACUGGGCGUAAAGCGAGCGCAGACGGUUACUUAAGCAGGAUGUGAAAUCCCCGGGCUCAACCUGGGAACUGCGUUCUGAACUGGGUGACUAGAGUGUGUCAGAGGGAGGUAGAAUUCCACGUGUAGCAGUGAAAUGCGUAGAGAUGUGGAGGAAUACCGAUGGCGAAGGCAGCCUCCUGGGAUAACACUGACGUUCAUGCUCGAAAGCGUGGGUAGCAAACAGGAUUAGAUACCCUGGUAGUCCACGCCCUAAACGAUGUCAAUUAGCUGUUGGGCAACUUGAUUGCUUAGUAGCGUAGCUAACGCGUGAAAUUGACCGCCUGGGGAGUACGGUCGCAAGAUUA